rnacentral:misc_RNA from 1 species
GAUGAUGAACGUAGCGAAAUGCGAUAAGUAAUGUGAAUUGCAGAAUUCAGUGAAUCAUCGAAUCUUUGAACGCACAUUGCGCCCGCCAGUAUUCUGGCGGGCAUGCCUGUUCGAGCGUCAUUUCAACCAUCAAGCCCCAGGCUUGUGUUGGGGACCUGCGGCUGCCGCAGGCCCUGAAAACCAGUGGCGGGCUCGCUGUCACACCGGGCGUAGUAGAUUUUAUCUCGCUCAGGGCGUGCUGCGGGUUCCGGCCGUUAAAAAGCCUUUUUUACCCAAGGUUGACCUCGGAUCAGGUAGGAAGACCCGCUGAACUUAAGCAUAUCAAUAAGCGGAGGA